rnacentral:sRNA from 1 species
GAUUCUCAUAAUUAUAACCCAUAAAACUAAGUUAGACUUGUCUCUUAUGUGCAUUUAUGAUUUAAUCAACGAGAGUAUACUUUGCAAGACAAAAUGCAAUUUUAAGGUAAAACACUAUGGAGAAUAAUUUCUUUUCCUAGUGAAAUGGUACGCAUUAUAUUUUAUUUUGUUUUAUUUCUAGGGAUAAUGACACAGAGAUUUGUAGUAAAAUUUUUAAGCUACAAUAGUGGUAAUGAAGAAGAAUUAUCUGGAAAUCCUGGUAAGAUGAGUAUAUGCCAGUCAUUGAUCUUACAAACAUACUUUAGUUCAACACUCCCAGCCAUCAGGAUGGUUAUAAGUAACUCUCUCCAAUUUUAGUUUCUGACUCUGACCUUUUUCCUUAUUCUCUCUUUUUCUUUUUUUGAGAUGGAGUCUUGCUCUGUUGCCCAGUCUGGAGUGCAGUGGCGCAAUCUUGGCUCACUGCAACCUCCACCUCCUGGGUUCAAGAGAUUUUCUUGCCUCAGCUUCCUGAGUAGCUGGGAUUACAGGUGCACACCACCAUUCCUGGCUUUUUUUUUUUUUUUUAAUCACACAACACAGGAAGCUUUAUUCAUGUGCUACUUCUCCAAAGAGAGGCUUGCAGGGUUGCUCACUUUAAUAUAAUUUUUAUAUUUUUAGUAGAGACAGGCUGUUGUUCACCAUGUUGGCCAGGCUGGUCUUGAACUCCUGACCUCAAGUGAUCCCCUGGCCUUAGCCUCCCAAAGUGUUGUGAUUACAGGCAUGAGCCACUGCCCCAGCCUCUUUAUUCUCUGUUGUGGCACUGUAUUCGUUUUUUUGUUUUUUUUUUUUUUGAGACAGAGUUUCACUCUUGUCGCCCAGGCUGGAGUGCAAUGGCAUGAUUUGGGCUCACUGCAACCUCCACCUUCCAGGUUCAAGCGAUUCUCCUGCCUCAGUCUCCCAAGUAGCUGGGAUUACAGGUGCCCACCAACACCCUCAGCAAAUUUUUGUACUUUUAGUAGAGACGGGGUUUCGCCAUAUUGGCCAUACUGGUCUCGAACUUCUGACCUCAGGUGAUCCACCCGCCUCGGCCUCCCAAAGUGCUAGGAUUACAGGCGUGACCCACUACGCCUGGCCGACAUGGUAUUCUUUUUGUGAUAGCAAUGUAAUUUUUUUUUUUACAUAGUCUGUUGUACAUAGUAACAAGUUGCUGUAAAUGUGAAGCAUUCUUUCUCUUUAGCUACUGUUUUUUUUGAGAGCCAUGAAGGUGCCAUCUUUCUCUCAAGGGUAUUUUCGAAAGCUUCGCCUAUGUGUUUUCUUUCCUUGUGCGUGACUCUUGUAUUAUUUGCAGAGUUAGGGCUUGCUGUGCUGGAGGAAACAGGCUCACGCUCCUUUUUUGUGUUGAUCUAGGUUACCAACUUGGCAAGCCUGUCCGAGCUCUAAAUACCAACAGGAUGAAUAAUGUCACGACUUUACAUCUUUGGCAAUCGGGUAAUCCGGUUUGGUCUUAUGAUUAGCCCUUUGGCAAACUGUUGUUAGAAGUAUUACCAUAUUUUGAAUCUAAUCAAGCAAUCAAUUAUUUUAAAGCCCAGUUGGUUUAUUUAGCAGAGAGGUGCAUGCUGCUGAAUAACAGUGGUGAUGGUUUUUCCUGCUUCUACAGCUUUUUAAAAAGGAAUGCUAACAUUGUUUGCACCUGAAGUGCUGGUUGCUAGUAGAAGAGAUUGAAAUAUGAGAUUGGCUUGAGAGUCCCGUGUUAUUGUUGCCUGUAGCCCAGGAUGGUGCUAAUUGGAGACAUAAAAAUAACUUCAUUCUGAACUGCAGGAAAUCUGUGCUUCAGUGGUAAUUACACACAUCUGCCAGAGGCAGUGUCACUUCUGAAGAAACCACCGCUCAGGAUCUGAGAAGUCUGAUAAAGGCACCUUUGUUCAGCAUUGAAAGGAUUAGACUAACAGUGAUCUCACUUUUUGAAAACUGGCAACUUUAUUUCUACUUACUGUUUUCUGUUUUUCAGGAAAAACUGAAGUUAAUCUUUACUUUUGUUUAGCAAAAAGUAGCAAGAGGAUAAUCUUUUUCUUUUAUAGCUGGAAGGGGUCUGUGUACAUCAGCAACUUUCAAACCCAUUUUAUUUGGAGAAAAUGUACUCUCUGGAUGCCUGUUAGAAGUCGGGAUUAAUGAAAAUUGUACUCAGCUGAGGGAGAACGCUGUUGAAAGACUUGAUUCACUAAUGCAAGCGACUCACGUUGCAAUGAGAGGCAACUCCGAUUACGCUGAUCUUAGUGAUGGCUGGCUCGAAAUAAUACGGUUUCAUUCUGUCACCCAGGCUGGAGUGCAGUGGUGCAAUCACAGCUCAUUGCAGCCUCAUCCUCCCAGGCUCAAGGGAUCCUCCCGCCUCAGCCUUCCAAGUAGCUGGCACCACAGGUGUAGAUGCCCCUGAUCCAGGUGCAGACCCGCUGGCUAGCAGUGUGAACGGCAUGUGCCUGGAUAUUCCUGCUCACCUGAGCAUCCGCAUCCUCAUCUCGGAUGCUGGCGCAGUGGAAGGGAUUACUCAGCAGGAGAUACUUGGCGUAGAGACAAGGUUCUCCUCAGUGAACUGGCAGUACCAGUGUGGGCUUACCUGUAAGCACAAGGCCGACCUUCUCCCUAUCAGUGCAUCCGUCCAGUUUAUUAAGAUUCCUGCACAGUUACCCCGCCCCCUGACGAGAUUCCAGAUCAAUUAUACAGAGUAUGACUGCAACAGAAAUGACGUGUGUUGGCCGCAGCUUCUAUAUCCAUGGACUCAGUAUUAUCAAGGUGGGGUAAAACAGAUUUCUAUGACCAAUUAUGUUAUGUCAAUUUAAAAAAAUUUUAAAAUGAUGUCUAAAUGUUACAGAAAGCAUAAAACAUAUAGAAACUUAAAAAAAAUGUACGGAUAAUAUUGCCACUUGGAAGUGAUCACCAUUACUGUUUUGGCUU